rnacentral:rRNA from 1 species
ACUUUACAAUGCGGGAAACCGUGAUAAGGGAACUCCGAGUGUCCGUAAAUGCGGACUGUCCGUAUGUUUAAAAAGCAUGCGAAGAAAGGGCCGGGCAAGACCGGUGCCAGCCGCCGCGGUAAUACCGGCGGCUCGAGUGGUGGCCACUAUUACUGGGCUUAAAGCGUUCGUAGCUGGGUUGUUUAGUCUCUUGGGAAAUCUACCGGCUUAACCGAUAGGCGUCCAAGGGAUACUGGCAAUCUAGGGACCGGGAGAGGUGAGGGGUACUUCAGGGGUAGGA